GUUUUCAGUAUAAUCAAGUCACAAGCUUCCCUCCUUCUCUUUUUCUGAGCGACAACAGACUGAACGGUUCGAUCUGGCCGGAGUUCGGCGAUCUUCGGAAGCUCCAGGUUUUAGAUUUCAGUGCGAACAAUCUUACAGGAAACAUACCUGAUGAGUUAUCAAAGAUGUCAAAUUUAGAAACCGUGGAGUUAUUCAACAACAAUCUAACAGGAGAAAUACCAUCGUCUCUGACGAAAUUGAAUUUCUUAUCGAAAUUCAACGUGUCACACAACAAUCUUUCCGGUCCGAUCCCUACCGGCGGCCAAUUCCUGACCUUCGACGAUACGAGUUUCGCCGGGAAUCCUGAUCUGUGCGGCGACCGUUCGUCUCUUCCUCCCUGUGACAAUAACAAUAACAAUAACAAUACCGAUAACAAAGUCAGAAGCAGUUACGACGGCGUUAAAUCGGAAAAGAAGAAAAACAAAAUCAUCAUCGGCGUGGUGAGUGGAAUAAGCAUCGGAACCGGUUUGAUUUCAAUUUUCGUGAUCGUUUGUUUGUUUGUGAAAAGAGCACAAUCGCAUUCCGGAAGAAUACAAGUUCUGGAGACAGAGAUCCAAGAAGCUGUGGAUUCAGCAACAGCAGUAGCAGGAGAAGCAGUUGUUGUAUUUGAAAACACUCCGUUAACCAUCGCCGACAUAUUGAAAUCCACCGGCAAUUUCGACGAAGCUAACAUAAUAGGAUGCGGCGGAUUUGGGCUUGUUUACAAGGCGACGUUGGCAAACGGACAGAAGAUGGCGAUAAAACGAUUAUCAGGUGAUUUUGGACAGAUGGAACGAGAAUUCCGAGCAGAAAUCGAUACCUUAUCAAGAGCUCUGCAUCAAAACCUAGUCGUUCUUCAAGGUUACUGUAGAAUGGCAAGUGUUCGGAUUCUGAUGUAUUCCUAUAUGGAGAACGGAAGCUUGGAUUUCUGGCUCCACGAGAACAACAACGACGAUGACAACAGAUCAAGGAAUUUUUUGGAUUGGGGAAUGAGAUUGGAGAUAGCCAAAGGAGCAUCAAAAGGUUUGGAAUAUCUUCACCUGAAUUGCCAACCACACAUCAUCCACCGCGAUAUCAAAUCAAGCAACAUUUUGCUAGAUCAAAAUUUCAAGGCUCAUCUUGCAGAUUUCGGAUUAGCGAGACUGAUCAAACCUUACGACACACAUGUGACCACCGAUCUGGUCGGAACAUUAGGUUACAUACCGCCGGAAUACGGACACAGUUCCAUGGCGACUUUGAAAGGGGAUAUUUACAGUUUCGGGGUGGUUUUGUUGGAAUUGGUCACCGGAAGACGACCAAUCGAUGUGUGUCAACCAAGAGGACACCGUGAAUUGAUUCCCAGAGUUUUGCAGAUGAACAAGGAGAAUAGAGUGAAUGAGGUGUUGGAUGUUCAGAUCUGUAGUAAUAAACAAAAUCAAAAACAGAUGGAGCGUGUUCUUCAAAUUGCUUGCCUUUGCUUGUCUCAAAAUCCAAAAGACAGACCAUCAAUCCAUCAUCUUGUUUUAUGGCUUCAUCAACUUCAUUCAUCAUCAU
rnacentral:lncRNA from 1 species